UACGGAGGAUCCGAGCGUUAUCCGGAUUUAUUGGGUUUAAAGGGUGCGCAGGCGGAAGAUUAAGUCAGUGGUGAAAUUUUGCAGCUCAACUGUAAAAGUGCCAUUGAUACUGGUUUUCUUGAGUGUGGAUGAAGUAGGCGGAAUUUGUGGUGUAGCGGUGAAAUGCAUAGAUAUCACGAGGAACUCCGAUUGCGCAGGCAGCUUACUAAACCAUAACUGACGCUCAGGCACGAAGGCGUGGGGAUCAAACAGGAUUAGA
rnacentral:rRNA from 1 species